AGUGCGCACUCCUCCCAGUGCACUGGCCGGUUGGAGUUUUGCCAGGGAGGCCUUCCCACCUGCCUGUCUCAAUGGAAAGAAUAUGUGGAUUUGGAUUCAGGGACACCUUUAUCACCUAUGUGACUUUAGGAGUCAAUGAAGCAAGUUCAUGAGACUCUGAGGCAAGGACACCAAACCAGGGGUUUUAGCUCCUACCCAUGGUACUGAGCCAGCAAGCGUUCCUGAAGCAUUCAGAAUUGUCUAAUUUCACCAAAUGAAUGAUCCCUGAGGGAUACCAUGGAUCCUGCUGGUCUAGGAUUGGCUCCAGCUUUUUCUGGAUCUGCAUUUGCUGUGCAACCCUGCUCGGGGGCUGAGAGAUGCUCUGGAGCUGUCUAGGCUAAACGUUCAUAAGAUUUUGACCCAAUGGUGAAUAGAGAGACAUCACAAAGGACACUAUACCUACUAAGUAGAUUUAAUAUGUCAGAGAAGAGGAAAACAGCAAAGACAACAAUACAUGGUCCAGGGUCUACUUAUACUCUGCAAGGGGUUGAGGCCUUAUCAGCAUUUUUUCAAGAUCAUAUUGAGCAGCUGCAUAUUUACUUUUAAACCAUUGUCACCUCAUCUCUAGCCUACUCUUGAGUUCUCAAUCAGUAUGAUGACGCUUUUAGUUCCAAAAUUUUAUAGCUACCCAUCACACCUAACCAUUGUUGGCUAAUAUAUCUGACCACACUGGCUCUGCAAGACCAUGGCUGAAGACUGCUUAAAUGUUGUCCCUGAGUCAAUAUCUUAACAUUUAUUGCAUCUUUUAUUUUCUUAACAAAAAUGAAGGCAUUUGUGACUGUGUUGUUUUCCAUCAAAAAUUGGGAAUCAUGCCCUUUCAUACAACACAGUUGUGACACAAUUUGUUGAAGUGAAAGAACACUGGAACAGAAACAAGAAUACCUGAGAUGGAGACUCACCUCUUACCAUCAAUCUAGUGUUGACUUUGGGUCCAUCUUUUCUUCUGGGGUAGUAGAAAGAUCAAGAUCAUCAGAGAACGUAGGGUGCAAUAUCAGCUCUCCAGUACCAAACACGGUUCAUUAACCUCUCGGAACCUCAGGUGUCUUGGGGCAUAGUUCAUGUCUCCUGGCCCAUCUCACAGGAUUAUCAGGAGGACGAAUGAGAUAAGUGAGUGCAUUUUGUAAAUUGUGAAGUGCUAAAUAAAUGCAAGGUAAUGCAAU
ensembl:lncRNA LINC01162 long intergenic non-protein coding RNA 1162